ensembl:lncRNA
GACAGGGCCUCAUUGUUUACAUGAGGGCACCAGGGUUGAACUGACGUGUGCAUUCAUCUUUAAUGUUCACGCUCAAAAUAUGAACCUGCGAGGACUGUGUUGACAGACACACACCUACCUUCUCACUCACUCGCUUUCUUUCUUUUUUUCCUGUCUUUUGCUUCACACUUGCAUUGCCGUGCUGCCGGGUUGGACUGAGGGAUUACAGGCGUCUGCUGGUUGGAAGAAGUGGAAAGACAUGAUAAAUAGAGAAAGUGUGAUGCAGGUUUUGCAAAGAGGCUGUUACUGAAGGGUCAGGCAGAUAAAAAUUAUACUGGACUUGAUUGAAAACCUCUAAAUGUGAGUGUACAGUAGCAAAACACUGUAUUUCUUUUUGCUUGUAAUUAUGGUGAUUAUGUAUACAAGUCUUAAAGGGAAAUCCACCCCAAGAUAAAAAUGUUAGUAUUGUUAUACUCACCCUCAUAGCGUUCCAAAACUGCAUGACUUGCUUUCUUCUGAG